AUCCUUUCGCAGUGGCAGUAUUGUAGCACAUGAGAUUGAUCCGUGGCACGAUUAUUGCUAGUUUAAAGCUUUACCCAAUACUCCACCUUGACCACUUGAAAUAUAGUCAGCGUGGCAAUUUUUGAUAGUUUCCAAAGAGA
rnacentral:snRNA from 1 species